GACGAACGCUGGCGGCGUGCUUAACACAUGCAAGUCGAACGGUGAAGCCCUUCGGGGUGGAUCAGUGGCGAACGGGUGAGUAACACGUGAGCAACCUGCCCCUGGCUCUGGGACAACCACUGGAGACGGUGGCUAAUACCGGAUACGACCCGCCUCGGCAUCGAGUGUGGGUGGAAAGUUUUUCGGCUGGGGAUGGGCUCGCGGCCUAUCAGCUUGUUGGUGAGGUGAAGGCUCACCAAGGCGACGACGGGUAGCCGGCCUGAGAGGGCGACCGGCCACACUGGGACUGAGACACGGCCCAGACUCCUACGGGAGGCAGCAGUGGGGAAUAUUGCACAAUGGGCGAAAGCCUGAUGCAGCGACGCCGCGUGAGGGAUGACGGCCUUCGGGUUGUAAACCUCUUUCAGCUCCGAAGAAGCGAAAGUGACGGUAGGAGCAGAAGAAGCACCGGCUAACUACGUG
rnacentral:rRNA from 1 species